rnacentral:lncRNA from 1 species
UUUAAUGUAGUGUUAUGUAAUAUUUUAUUUGACAAUGUCACAGCUGAAUCAAAAUUGUAUAUUUUUGUCGUUUUAGUAGUUUAAUGUAGUUUAAUGCAAUGAUUGUUUGGAACUGUUUUAAUUGACCUAAAUUUCAUUGAUUUAGUAUACUAUGGAAUCAAAUAUGUAGCUGUUAACUGUAGUUUGUUGUAGUUGAAUGUAGUUUCAUGUGUAUCUUGUAGCUGUUAUACACAGUUAUUUGCAGUUUAAAUGUAGUUAUUUGUAGUUAAAUGUAGUGUUCAAUAACUGGCUAUUGAACAGGGGUUAAAUGUAGUCAUUUGUAGGCAUUUGUAUUUUGAUUUCUUCCUGUUUUCUUUCCUCUUCUAUGCUCUGUUAAAUGUUUAUGUUGAAC